rnacentral:misc_RNA from 1 species
GAUGAAGAACGCAGCGAAAUGCGAUAAGUAGUGUGAAUUGCAGAAUUCAGUGAAUCAUCGAAUCUUUGAACGCACAUUGCGCCCUUUGGUAUUCCGGGGGGCAUGCCUGUCCGAGCGUCAUUGCUGCCCUCAAGCACGGCUUGUGUGUUGGGCCUCCGUCCUCCUCCCGGGGGACGGGCCCGAAAGGCAGCGGCGGCACCGCGUCCGGUCCUCGAGCGUAUGGGGCUUCGUCACCCGCUCUUGUAGGCCCGGCCGGCGCUUGCCGACACAUCAAUCUUUUUUCCAGGUUGACCUCGGAUCAGGUAGGGAUACCCGCUGAACUUAAGCAUAUCAAUAAGCGGAGGA